rnacentral:rRNA from 1 species
UACGUAGGGCGCAAGCGUUGUCCGGAAUUAUUGGGCGUAAAGAGCUCGUAGGCGGCCUGUUGCGUCCGCUGUGAAAUCCCGGGGCUCAACCCCGGGCGUGCAGUGGAUACGGGCUGGCUGGAGGCAGGCAGGGGAGAACGGAAUUCCUGGUGUAGCGGUGAAAUGCGCAGAUAUCAGGAGGAACACCGGUGGCGAAGGCGGCUAUCUGGGCUGAAACUGACGCUGAGGCGCGAAGGCUAGGGGAGCAAACAGG